rnacentral:rRNA from 1 species
UGGUGUGACGGCGUGCCUUUUGCAUAAUGAACCUACGAGUUACUUUUUCCGGCGAGGUUAAGGAUUUCAGAUCUGCAGCCGAAGCGAAAGCGAGUCUGAACAGGGCGUAUAGUCGGAAGGAGUAGACGCGAAACCAAGUGAUCUACCCUUGGGCAGGUUGAAGGAUGGGUAACACCAUCUGGAGGACCGAACCAAUAAGCGUUGAAAAGCUUCUGGAUGACCUGAGGGUGGGGGUGAAAGGCUAAUCAAACUUGGAGAUAGCUCGUACUCCCCGAAAUGCAUUUAGGUGCAGCCUUGACUUAUACUGGCAUGAGGUAGAGCGACUGAUAAGAUGCGAGGGCUUCACCGCCUAUCAAGUCUUGACAAACUCCGAAUGCGUGUCAGUUCUAUGUCAGGAGUGAGGGCAUGGGUGCUAAGGUCCAUGUCCUAAAGGAGAACAAUCCGGACCAACAGCUAAGGUCCCGAAAUGAAUACUAAGUUGAACUAACGAAGUCAGAUUGCUAAGACAGCUAGGAUGUUGGCUUGGAAGCAGCCAUUCAUUUAAAGAGUGCGUAACAGCUCACUAGUCGAGGAGUUUGGCGUGGAUAAUAAUCGGGCAUAAGUAUUCUACCGAAGCUUUGGGAUGAGAAAUCAUCGGUAGGGGAGCAUUCCACUCUGCGUCGAAGGUGAAGCGCGAGCUUUGCUGGAGCGUGUGGAAAAGCAAAUGUAGGUAUAAGUAACGAUAAAGGGGGUGGGAAACCCCCUCGCCGAAAGACUAAGGUUUCCUGAUCAACGCUAAUCGGAUCAGGGUAAGUCGGGUCCUAAGGCUCAGCCGAACGGCGAGGCCGAUGGCAGAACCGGUUAAUAUUCCGGUACUACCUGUGGGAGUGACGUGGAGACGGAGUCGUGACAGCGCCGCGGACUGACGGAAUAGUCCGUUGAAGGGUGUAGAUGCUGAUUGUUCCAGGCAAAUCCGGAGCAAGAGUCGAACCUGAUAGUAUGGAGCGUUCUUAGAACAAUCCAAUAGUGCGUGUAAUCAUACUUCCAAGAAAAUCCGCUAAACUUAAUCCUGCAGGUACCCGUACCGCAAACGGACACACGUAGUCGGGUUGAAUAUACUAAGGCGCUUGAGUGAUUCACGGUUAAGGAACUAGGCAAACUGACCCUGUAACUUCGGGAUAAAGGGUCCUCGCUUAACGGCGAGGCGCAGAGAAUAGGUCCAGGCAACUGUUUAACAAAAACACAGGGCUGUGCAAAAUUGAAAGAUGAAGUAUACAGCCUGACACCUGCCCGGUGCUGGAAGGUUAAGAGGAGAUGUCAUCGCAAGAGAAGCAUUGAAUUGAAGCCCCAGUAAACGGCGGCCGUAACUAUAACGGUCCUAAGGUAGCGAAAUUCCUUGUCGGGUAAGUUCCGACCUGCACGAAUGGUGUAAUGAUCUGGACGCUGUCUCAACCGUGAGCUCAGUGAAAUUGUAGUAUCGGUGAAGAUGCCGAUUACCCGCGAUGGGACGAAAAGACCCCGUGAACCUUUACUAUAGCUUAACAUUGAAUUUGGGUAAUUGAUGUGUAGGAUAGGCCGGAGGCUUUGAAGCGGGCACGCCAGUGUCCGUGGAGCCGCUGUUGAAAUACGGCCCUUUGAUUAUUUGAGUUCUAACCCGUUGUUGCGGGGACACUGUUUGGUGGGUAGUUUGACUGGGGUGGUCGCCUCCAAAAGUGUAACGGAGGCUUCUAAAGGUGCCCUCACGACGAUUGGUAACCGUCGGCAGAGUGUAAUGGCAUAAGGGCGCUUGACUGGGAGACUUACAAGUCGAUCAGGUAGGAAACUAGAGCAUAGUGAUCCGGUGUUUCUGUAUGGAAAGGACAUCGCUCAAAGGAUAAAAGGUACUCCGGGGAUAACAGGCUGAUCCCUCCCAAGAGCUCAUAUCGACGGAGGGGUUUGGCACCUCGAUGUCGGCUCGUCACAUCCUGGGGCUGGAGAAGGUCCCAAGGGUUGGGCUGUUCGCCCAUUAAAGUGGCACGCGAGCUGGGUUCAGAACGUCGUGAGACAGUUCGGUCUCUAUCUAUCGUGGGCGCAUGAAAUUUGCGUGGCUCUGACACUAGUACGAGAGGACCGUGUUGGACUGACCUCUGGUUUACCGGUUGUGCCGCCAGGUGCAUUGCCGGGUAUCUAAGUCGGGAUUGGAUAAGUGCUGAAAGCAUCUAAGUACGAAGCCAGCCACAAGAUUAGAUUUCUCAGGGUCGUUGUAGACUAC